rnacentral:rRNA from 1 species
UACGUAGGGGGCAAGCGUUAUCCGGAAUUAUUGGGCGUAAAGAGUACGUAGGUGGUUUUAUAAGCGUGAGGUGAAAGGCAAUGGCUCAACCAUUGUUAGCCUCGCGAACUGUAAGACUAGAGUGCAGGAGAGGAAAGCGGAAUUCCUAGUGUAGCGGUGAAAUGCGUAGAUAUUAGGAGGAACACCAGUGGCGAAGGCGGCUUUCUGGACUGUAACUGACACUGAGGUAC